rnacentral:rRNA from 1 species
UACAGAGGUCCCGAGCGUUGUUCGGAUUCACUGGGCGUAAAGGGUGCGUAGGUGGCUUGGAAAGUUUGAUGUGAAAGCUCAGGGCUUAACCCUGAAAUGGCAUUGAAUACUGCUGAGCUGGAGGUUUGGAGGGGGACUGGAAUUCUUGGUGUAGCAGUGAAAUGCGUAGAUAUCAAGAGGAACACCAGUGGCGAAAGGCGAGUCCCUGGACAACACCUGACACUGAGGCACGAAAGCUAGGGGAGCAAACAGGA